GACGAACGCUGGCGGCGUGCUUAACACAUGCAAGUCGAGCGGUAAGGCCCUUCGGGGUACACGAGCGGCGAACGGGUGAGUAACACGUGGGUGAUCUGCCCUGUACUUCGGGAUAAGCCUGGGAAACUGGGUCUAAUACCGGAUAUGACCUUACAUCGCAUGGUGUUUGGUGGAAAGAUUUAUCGGUACAGGAUGGGCCCGCGGCCUAUCAGCUUGUUGGUGGGGUAAUGGCCUACCAAGGCGACGACGGGUAGCCGGCCUGAGAGGGCGACCGGCCACACUGGGACUGAGACACGGCCCAGACUCCUACGGGAGGCAGCAGUGGGGAAUAUUGCACAAUGGGCGAAAGCCUGAUGCAGCGACGCCGCGUGAGGGAUGACGGCCUUCGGGUUGUAAACCUCUUUCGACAGGGACGAAGCGCAAGUGACGGUACCUGUAGAAGAAGCACCGGCCAACUACGUGCCAGCAGCCGCGGUAAUA
rnacentral:rRNA from 1 species